AGGUGAGUAGCUUAAGUUACAAAGCAUAAACUUUUUAAGUUUAGGAUACAUUUAGUCUCAGCUU
rnacentral:tRNA from 1 species